GCCAGUACUUGCCAGAAAUUCCUGCAGUUCCUUUAAUGUUGCUGUAGGCCUCUUGGAAGCCUCCCUGACCAGUUUUCUUCUCGUCUUUUCAUAAAUUUUGAGGGACGUCCAGUUCUUGGUAAUGUCUCUGUUGUGCCAUAUUUUCUCCACUUGAUGAUGACUGUCUUCACUGUGUUCCAUGGUAUAUGUAAUGCUUUGGAAAUUAUGUUGUACCCUUCUCCUGACUGAUAUCUUUCAACAAUGAGAUCCCUCUGAUGCUUUGGAAGCUCUCUGCGGACCAUGGCUUUUGCUCUGAGAUGCAACUAAGAAAUGUCAGGAAUAUCCUACUAGAACAGCGGAACUUUAUUUGUGAUUAAUCAGAGUCACUUUAAAUGAUGGCAGGUGUGUAAUGACUUCUAUUUAACAUGAGUUUGAAUGUGAUUGGUUAAUUCUGAACACAGCCACAUCCCCAGUUAUAAGAGGGGGUGCACACUUAUGCAACCAGGUUA